CUACUUGGUUUAUCUCAACAUGCAGCAUAGACACAUCAGCAUCCAGCUACGUGACACCUCAUGCAGUCCCACAUAGCUGACCUCUUCAGGUCUCACCACAUGCAGACCAUCCACGUAUUUGCCAGCUCAGAAAAAUAUUUAGUUUUCUUUUAUGAUAAUCACCGAUUGAUUACUUACUCCUUGCUCCACGCGGCCAACCAUAAUUUAGUCCCAGCGUUUCGGUGUCCCUAUCUCUCCCUAAUUUACUCUCCCCCUAAUUGAUUUGCCGUGGCUCUCUUUAUCUUCCACGGUAGGUCAUCAUCUCCCCAAUAAACUCUCCUGCCAAUUGAUUUUUCAUGGAUCUCUUUACCUUCUACGGCAGAUUAUCUCCAUCCUUCCACCAAACAAACACAACCUGGAGAUGCAGACCUUGAGGCCCUGCGCCAUGGAGAGGAUGGUCAACAUGGUUACUUGACGAAGUGGCCCUCCACAAGCCCAAACCUGAAGAACCUGCACAGGAUGGCAGCACCAUCUUCAUCUGCAGAACGUGCAGUCGUCGCCGAUCCACCGCUCAGGCCAGAAUCUGGCUGUCUUGGGGCCCAGUUGUACUCCAUCCGCCCCAUGGAGUUGGGCAGUAAUUCAUCAUCCACCGACACGUAUCUUGGUGUCGUCCGGGAAGACCUUUCCUUCGAUGGCGCCGUUGACCUCGCCUACGAGCCGUUAUAGUAUUGGCGAAAUUUGGAGUUCCUACAAGUUAUUAAGUAUUGGGCGAAAUUUGGAGUUCCUUAUGUGCCUCCCACGCUCACGCCAUCCGAUUCAUGUCAGGGAGGUUCUUACCAAAUGUCUCCACACAAGCUUUGUGGAUUGGAACUAGGAGUGCAAAUUAGUUUUCUCUAUUAAGGAUUUGAUAGUGAAGGUGGUCCUAUAACCUAUUUCCACUUGACUUUAAAAAAUUUUGAAGGCGCCCUUGCUGAUUUUAUUAAUGCUUCCUGCUCAAGUAGCAAGUGAUUGAUAUGUUGCUCUCACUUAGAUCAUCGUAUCUUGCAGGCACCUUCUUCUUUCUUCUUUUAAUUGCAAUAUAAAUUGGAUCUCUCAGUUGUGAAAUGCCAUCGUCUCUACUUAUCCUCUACAGGCACAAUUGUACUGUUUUGUGUCCAAUCUCAGUAUGCCAUUUGAAUUUUGUAUAGCUUGCAUAGUCCCAGAUUCAUUAGCUCAUUCCAAUAUUUUUUAAUAGCUUACAUAUUAUCAUUUGCAUGACUAAGUAUGAGGGCACUAUCAUCCCUUCCUUCCAAGUAUUGGCCGCUACUAUUUGCAUUAGCUUUGCCCCAGAACAUAUCCCUUAUUGCACUUUGACAGAGCAAGUACAGAGAUCUCAUUAAUGGUCAGUUAUACAUUAUUGUAGAUGUUCUUUGAUUUACAAAGACAAGGACCUCCUACUAUUGAUGCUUCCUAAGCAUCGUUUCUACCAUUUGUUAUCUCAUAUUAUGUUGAUGAGUAGAUACAAUUAUCUGUUGUAACACCUAUGUCUACACUUGCUGGCAUUUGCUUAUGUAACACCUACCUGGCUAUAUAUUGUAGGACUUAUGUACUAAAAUGCAGAAGAUUGAUUUACAACAAGAGUCACAAACAAUACACAAUAAGUAUCUCAAAAACUACAAUUUGUAGAUAACCUUUCAUGUUGUCUCCAUUUUAGAAUCUUGGUUCUUGAUGUGUAUAUAUAGCAUUGGUUUAUAUGUAAAUCAGAUGAGAUAAUUAUGCCAUGCCACUAUAUUUAAUAAAAACAUCACAUAAUACACAUUCUGCUAUCUUUAUAAUUAUACUCCAAGAAUUGUGUUCAUUUCAGCUAUUUCAUCUUAAGAUCAUAUAUCUACUACUACAACAACAACAACAACAAAGCCUUUAGUCCCAAACAAGUUGGGGUAGGCUAGAGGUGAAAACCAUAAGAUCUCGCAACCA